ACAACCAUACCACAUUGGAUACACCAGUUCUCGUUCGAUCACCGAAGUUAAGCAAUGUCGGGCCCGGUCAGUACUUGGGAGGGUGACCACUUGGGAACACAGAGUGCUGUAGGUU